rfam:Ovis aries breed Texel chromosome 9, whole genome shotgun sequence.
UCCCUGGUGGCUCAGUUGGUAAAGAAUCUGCCUGUAAUGCAGGAGGUCUGGGUUUGAUCCCUGGGUUGGGAA